AUCUAGAUGAGGUUACAUCUAGAUGAGGUUACACAUAGAUGAGGUUACACAUAGAUGAGGUUACACAUAGAUGAGGUAACACAUAGAUGAUGUAACACAUAGAUGAGGUUACAUCUAGAUGAGGUAACACAUAGAUGAGGUAACACAUAGAUGAGGUUUCAUCUAGAUGAGGUAACACAUAGAUGAG